rnacentral:tRNA from 1 species
CACUAAAAAGCUAAACUGGGCAUAGCAUCAGCCUUUUAAGCUGAAGAUUGGUGGCCCCCAACCACCUUUAGUGA